UAAUGUGCUGACCUCCAGAGCAUAGGCAAUGGCUUUUUGAGUUAAAUACAUUUUUAUUUUUGGUAAAAAAAAUUAUAUAGCUUGGACAACAAAAUUGGCCCAUUCCAGCUAGCCCGGACCGGUCCACCUCUGAUUUGUGUCCGGUUGACCGAUACGAAGCCGAAACAAACCCACCACUUGAGGACUAUUUGAUGCACGCAUUGGCGAUGUGGCCGGAAUUCCCAACUCGCAGUCAGAUUGGACGGGGAAAGGGUUUGGUGUAAGAAAAGAUGAAGCAGCCGCCGGCGUCGUAUCUGUACCACCAGCAGCAGCAGCAGGAGGAGAUGGAGGAGGCGGUGGCGGUGACCGUGGGGAUGGAGGUGGACGACGCCGAUCCCAUCGAGAUCCUCUCCGACUUCGACCGCCAGCAGCCCCCUGUCGACGCCGACUUCUUCAACUCCUUCGACGAUGACUUCGACGACCAAGACCUUGCUUGAAGGCACCUGCUCUUCCUCCUCGUUCUCUUCUGGUUGAUGUGUUAUCGUUCUGUGAUACCUCAGCUGAGUUGGUGCGAGGUGGAAAUAAGGUGACAUGGAAUUCUGUCAGAUUAGUUGGUGUGGAAUGUCUCUUAUGGAGUCUUUCAUGGUAUCAUGCUGCCAUGUGUACGUAUGUGUAUCGAUUGUCAUGCUAUAAAACAAUUUCAGAACUGAUUAUGUUUUGAACAGCGGAGUUGCAUAGCUUCUAUAAUGAAUCGGCAGCAUGUUGGACUGAGCCAA